GGUGCUUGCUUCAGCAGUGCAUCAUAUACUAAAAUUGGAAUGAUAUGGAGAUUAGCAUGGCCCCUGCACACAGAUGACAUGCAAAUUCGUGAUGCAUUCCAUAUUUUA
rnacentral:snRNA from 1 species